ACCUGGAUGGCUUAGUUGGUGGAGCAUGAGACUCUGAAUCUCGGGUUGUAAGUUCGAGUCCCACAUUGGGCA
rnacentral:tRNA from 1 species